UUCUUUUUUUUUUUUUUUUUUUUUGAGCUGAGGAUUGAACCCAGGGCCUUACGCUUGCUAGGCAAGCGCUCUACCACUGAGCUAAAUCCCCAACCCAAGUCUUUUUAUUCUUAAAGUCCAACCCCCAGUGGCAUACUUCAUCCAAGCAUGACUGCAUUAACCUGGACCAGAAGGUCAUUCUUCAGUGACAGGGUCCUAAGUGGGAGGUGGCCAUUAGAUGAGAAGAUAAAGAAGAUAGAUAGAAAAUCUGGGGUCAAGAGGUCUCACACAAGCUAUGUCUUAUGCCAAGCAAGCUUAUUAAAAAAUACAGAAUCUUAUAUACUAUUUCCAGGGAUGAAAUGGGAUGAAGUCCGCAGAAACUGUCAUACCAAGGGAUGAAGUCAACAGGAAGCUAAUCAAACAGUGUUGCACAAGGGGAACACAGGGUAUCUCAAGAACAUUACAGAGUACACAGUGGCCUUGGACUGAUAACCAUAGCCCCAUACAGUGGGAAGAGUUGGGUUCAGGAACUGAAGCCACAGAUCCCCUCAUGGUCCUGGCCCCAGGGCAUUACUGGGCCUGCCAAGCGCGUUCCUUUUCUGUACAUCAUGGCCUCAGGGAAAGCCUCAGUUGAUCUGACCCUCAACAGUGCACCACUUAAACCUCCCCCAACAGCACCCCCAUUUUUAGGGUUUCUAUUGCUGUGAUAAAACACCAUGACCAAAAGCAACUCAGAGAAGAAAAGGUUUGUUUAAUCAUACAUCUUGUAGCCCAUCAUUCAGGGAAGUCAGGCCAAGAAUUCAAGGCAGGAACUGGAGGCAAAAGCUGAUGCAGAGGCCAUGGAGAGGUGCUGCUUACUGGCUUGCUCCCUGUGACUUAACUCAGCCUGUUUUCUUGCUUUUUAAAGUUUUUUUUUAAAUUUUUUUAUAUAUAAUUUUUUAUUUAAAAAAAAGAUUUUCUUUCCUUUUAUAUACCAGCCCCCUGUUCCCCCUCCCUCCUCUUCUCCCACUCCUCCCACCUACCUCUAUCCCACCCCCAUCCUCUCCUCAUAGAGAGUAAGGCUUGAAGACUAACUAAUCUCACACCUCUCAAUAGUAGACUGGCAUUUAAUAGAGGGAUGUGAAGAAGAACGGGAUGCUGAGAUGAAGCCACAUAUACACAGCCAAGAAGAAUGGACAGCUGAAUUCAAAAAACAUCAACAAUUUCCAGAAUUUAAAAUCCUGAAUCAUGACAGGACACUAGUGGAAUUCAGGUGUUUCUGGUACAUGGACUGCUCUCACCCAAUGUGAGGUCAAACUAUUGACUUUGUGUACAUCCUACUUCACAAAUGAGUCUGUCAGAUACGCUAAGCCUAUAGGUUGAAGAUGAUGCCCCAACACUGUGGAGAAACCUCAGGGGGACCUGAACUAAAACAAAGAUCCAAGACCUGUGCUCUUUUUACGUGACUAUUCCCAGAGAAAUGUGAAAAAGGAAAAAAGAAAAAGUCUAUUUAUCUGAGAAAGGGAUGAUAAAAGAAAUGAAUGCACCCAAGUUAGCCUGGUAAACUUGGGGUUAUUUGCAGAAACACAGUCAACUCAAAGACAGAUGAUGUAUCGCUGAAAGGCCCACCCCACCAUUGUGAUGACUCAUGAAUCCACUGGAGCUUACUGUCCAACAUGCAGGCAACUACAAGGAGCCUUUUUCUCCCUAGCAAUUGCCGACUGCUUAUAUUAUCGUGUGGAGGGGCCUUGUGAGUCUUGUACAUUUUCUGAGACUCCUAAGUUUCAUGAACAUCCUGCAUCUUACAGGAGGACUAUUUCAAUACAGAGGAAAUUACUACUCAGCAGCUUCUAUUUCAUGACAUUGUGCUGAGCCGGAAAGAGAUUGUCAGCCAGGGACUCCAUUUCUAAAGAGUACAGAUGUGGCUAGAAAAGGGAACUGAAAACUCACUUCCUAAGUGAGCUAGCAGGGACUUUUGAUGGUAAUAAGCAAUAUGAAUCCACUUUACAUCUCAGUCAGUGGUUCUUAACCUUUCUAAUGUGGUGACCCUUUAAUACAGUUCCUCAUGUUGUGGUGACCCCCAACCAUAACAUUAGUUUUAUUACUACUUCAUAACUAAUUUUGUUAUUGGUAUGAAUCAUAAUGUAAAUAUUUGAUAUGCAACCCCUGUGAAAGGAUUGUUUGACCCCCAAAGGGGUCACAGCCCAUAGGUUGAGAUUAACUUGUCUAAAUGAAGGCCAUAUGACUGAAUUAUUGCCAAUAGAACACAUGUAGUAAUCAUGUUUAUCAUUUCCAGAUCCAUAAAAACCUUUGCAUCAUCUCCCACAUUUUUUUUUAUUUAUUCUAGAUAACACACUGAUGCGUGUUAAAAAUGGAAGAGCUGGGACUAGACGGCUCAAUAGGUAUAGGUAAGGCCAACUUGUUGCCCAUGCUCGAUAAUCUGAGUUCAAUCCCCAGACCCACAGAUUGGAGAGAGAGAACCAACUCUCACAAGUUGUACACACACACACACACACAUUAAUUUUUUUAAUGUCAUACUUCUGAGUCUAGAUCUCCAGGUGACUGAAAGGAUUCUACCCCCAUGAAUCACCACCAUGACUGCCAACUGAGUUAUACAGUAAGAAGUCAACUGCUCCAUUAAACCACUGAGGUUUUGGCAAAUCUUAUGGCAGCUGGUGCCAAUGUAACCUAUUCUGAAUUGGUUGCUGUUAGUUCUCAGGGACUGCAUUUGUUCAGAAAUGACAAUCUUGGCUUAAUUCAAGCUGGAUGAUAGGAGGAUUUCUGGAGAUUAGAUAAAAGUCAGUAUUCCUCAGGAACUUGUGAAACAGGUUCCCUUUAGGAUUAGAGUUAGAGUUAAGGUGUACAAUUGUUCCUGGGACAAAUGCCCAAGACCACAUGUGCAAAAACAUGAACUGUAGAAGCAGGUGCUCACUUUGACAUACUGCUCAUUGGACCUUGGACACAUUACUUAACCUCUCUGCUUCCCUUUCCUCCUGGAUGCAAAAAAAAAAAGUCAAAUACUACUUAGGCGUUUAUCACAAAUUAACAUUAAGAAAACAUUUAUCGGGCUGGAGAGAUGGCUCGGACUGCUCUUCCAGAGGUCCUGAGUUCAAUUCCCAGCAACCACAUGGUAGCUCACAGCUAUCUAUAAUGAGAUCUGGUGCCCUCUUCUGACCUGCAGUCAUACAUGCUGUAUACAUAAAUAAAUAAAUCUUAAAAAAAAAAAGAAAACAUUUAUCAUAGUGCCUGGAACACACAAAUAACACGUGCCCAAAGAUCACCCUUGGCACAAAAUCUUUAAAACUAUUUCUUCUUUUAACCUUCCAGAUUUUGUUUUUGUUUGGUUUGGCAUUUUUUUUUUUUUUUUUUUUGGAGAGUCUCACAUAGUCCAGGCUGGCCUCCAACUUACUAUGUAGUCAAGGCUGCCUUUGAACUCUUAAUUCUCUUGCCUCCCAAGUACUGCAGUUGCAGACACAAGCCACGAUGCCCAGCUUUUCCGACCUUGCAUUUGAUGACGACAGCCUGUGCCCAUGAAGAGACUUUAGCCCUUUGGAUGUCCUUCCUUCGCUAUAUGAGUUUGUCCCUGGACAUGAGACACUCUCAGAGCAUGGUCUACUCAGGUCAGCAGGUACUUUGGCCCUUAUGGAUUCGGAGUGUAUUAGCUUUAGGUGGAUCAUUAACUCUAGGAGGAACUGUCACCCAUGGACCUAUGUGUUUUUUGCUUACAGGCAUGUGGAAGAAAUUGCUCAAGCUACUUUUGGGACAUUGAUGUGCAUUUAUUCACCUUUUCAACAAAUGUUUGAGUCCCACAUCAGGCAUCAUAGUCAGGCACCAUGAUCCAAUCCAGGAUUAGAAUAUUGAAGGUUACUUCUUCAAAGCAGGAUUAAAUCAGGAGAACAGAAAGUUCCAAGCCAGACUGAGUGCAUAGCAAGAUCCUGUCACCCCCUCCCCCGCCCCCCCAAAAAAACAAAAAGAAAAUUAGAGAAAGGAUAAAAUCCAAAGAUAGUCAAUAAAGCAAAAAUCAAGAAAAUAACAUGAAUGAGUAUACAAUACAGAAAAAUCAACAAAGCCAAAAAUUUUUUUCGUGUGUGUGUGUGGGGGGGGGGGGGGUGUGUUGUUUUAAAGAUUUAUUUUAUUUUUAUUUACAUGUAUGUGUGUGGGCCUAUUUGAAUUUUACACUAUGUGAGUGCAGAUAAAUGCCUGUGGAGGACAGAAGAUAAUACCUUAUUAACCUUGAAUUUUCUUAAUGCUGUUGAGAAAGGAACAACAGCUGCAGAGAGACAUUGGACAAUAAAAAACAAAAAACCAGCCAACCAACCAAAGAAAGAACUGAGCUAAAUCAACCUGUGUACUUCAAAUGUGGGACCUCAGAAUGGAAACCAGGAUAUGUGCUAUGUUGGCGAAGGGGUUUAGCUUUUGUUUCCACAGGAGAAGAAAAACUAUGGAUACCAUCAAAAUUAAUAAAAAUUCAAUUCGAACAGGAGAAACCUCUUGAUAAGGAGAAGUGAUAGCUCAUCCACCUAUGUGACAAUUCUACAAGUUGUAAGGAAAGCUCUCCAAACAAGGGUCAGGGCAGGGUUCUGUUUGUUGUCUUUUCAGGAUAAUAGAAAAACCCAUCUUCAAGAAGUCAAAAGGCCUUGGACCUCUAGAUGUCUAUAAAAGAAAGAAAGGAUAUCCAUAAAAAUCUUACAAACAAAAAAAUAAUCAGACAUAUUGGUACCAAUAUACUCUACAGGGCAAUAUCUCACUGCCUAAACAUCAGUAUCUCUUACUUCUAGAAAAGUUGUAGUCCUGACUCAAUUAUAAAUCAAGUUCAUUUUGGAGUUGGAAUGUGGCUUUCUCCUUUAAACCCAAACAUAUUGUUAAAAGAAAAAAUUAAGAGAUUCUGUCUCAUAUCAGAAUAGCCACCUGGUAUGGGACAGAAUAAAGCCAAUAAUGUAGGGACUAUUGUUGUCAAGAUUCUAUUUCUCUCCAUGCUUAUUCUUGAUUCUUUAGGGCCUUUCUUUACAUAUCAUGCCAUCUUAAAAUUUAAACUUUCCAUUUUGAUAUUAAUAAUGUUCAAGUUUUCCACAAUUAACAAUAAAUUUCCAGAAGGAAGAUGGGGCCCCACAACGAUUCUACCUGGUUCAUAAUGAUGACAUUGAGCAGACAAACACCACUCAUAGAUCAUCUCUGGACUACAAACAGUUCAGGACUGUUUCAAGGUGGCUAAGAUAAUCCAUCAUCUUACACCUCUAGCCAGAACUUCACAUAAGCUUUACCCAUUACUCUGAGACUGGCUACAAAUGUUACAGCUAGUCCUCAUGAGACUUAACUGUUGUUUUACUUUUCUUACAGGAUCCCACAGAGAUACUGUCUCCCCUUAGAUAGCAGAAAGCAAUUUUAAGAAAACGACACCCCCUCCCCCAAAAGGUUUUGUUUUCUCAGACUUAUGAAUAAUUGUUAUCUGUUAGGGGUUGGUUAUAAAUUGUAUUAGGGUUGGGGGUGAAACUAUAAAGUUUAGACUCAGGAUACUCUUUUGAAUAAGAAAACAGGGGAAUAAGGUAGAUUAUUGUAUCUACUUGUAAACUAAUCAGUAACUAUCAGCUUUAGAUAAUUUGCAUUGGUAUGGACUCUUGUAUAUUGAUACAAAUGUGAAAUUAUUUUUCUAUUGCUGUUUAAGAUAAUUUAUAUUGAUACAAAUACAAAACUGUAUGUCAUAUUGUACAUAUGUUCCUACUCCUGUUUGAAAUAUUUUGUAUAUUGAUACAAAUGUAAAAUUACAUUUGUCAUACUGUAUAUAUGUUCUACAUCUGUUUAGGAUAUUUUGUAUAUUGAUACAUAUCAAGGAUAUUGUUGUCAUAUUGCACUAUACAUUUCUACCUCUGAUUAAGAUAUUUUUGUAUAUUGUCACAACUUCGAGGUCAUUAUCCCUAUACUAUACAUCUGUUUACAGAUUGUUUAUUUUUAUAAUGUGAAGCCUUAGUCUUUAAGUUAUUUAGAUUGAUAAGAAUUACAGGUUAAUAGUCACCCAUGCUUGUCAUAUUUAUAGUCAUGUUAGUUAUGUUUUCUAGAUAUACAGAAAUAUAUGUUGGAUGGAUAAUCUUCAAACACUUCAUAGACCUACAGAAUAUGGCAUUUAAAUGUUUUAAUAACUUAGAAUUAUGUUGAUGUGAGAUACCAGCCCACCACCCAUGGAGCAACAUGUCAGCAGACCGGUAAUGCCACAGCCACGUGGCAAAACAUAGAUUAAUAGAAAUGGGUUAAUUUAAGAUGAAAGAGCUAGCUAACAAAAAGCCUGAGCCAUAGACCAAACAGUUUAUAAUUAAUAUAAGCCUCUGUGUGUUUACUUGGGACCAGGUGGGACAGGAAAACUUCCGGGUACACUUGUAAGCUGUUUGAUACGAGUGCUGGGAACCAAACCUGGGUCCUCUGCAAGAAUAGUAAGUGCUCUUAUCCACUGAGCAUCUCCCCAAACCCAGUUCAUGUGUGUUUUUUAAUUAAUAAAAUAGAACCUUGGCAACACUAAUCAAUCAAAGAAAAGGAAUAAACAGAAGUUACCACUGUCAAUAAUGGGAAAAUAUAGUAUAGUAAGGGAUUUUCUUUCAUUCAAAAUGUCAUUUACCAGGUUUUGUGCCACAAGCCUGUGAGCUAAAGCUCUCAGCAGGCUGAGGCAGGAGGAUCAUACAUUCCAGGCCAGCCGGGGUGACUUCGUGUGACCCUGGGUUGAAACAAAAAGUGAUUUGAAAGGGGGGUGGUAGUUAAAGAUACAACUCAGUGACAGAUCGGGUGCCUGGAUCCAAUCCCCAGCUCCCAAAACCAAAUGACAGUUCAAGAGAAUAUAGUGAGUGACUUUGCUUCAGUAACUUCGAAAUGUAGGUGAAUACUUGUGUGUGUAUGUGUGAUGUAUGUUUGUAUGUGUGCAUAUGUGUAAAGUGUGUGUGUGUGUGUGUGUGUGUGUGUGUGUGUGUACAUGAGUGAGGUGCGUGUGCUUGUGGAGGCCAGAGAUUGACACUGGCUGUCUUUCUCAGUAGCUCUUCACCUAAUUUUUUUUUGAGACAGUGUCUCUCACUGAGCCAGGGAUUGGCUGGAGCCAGAGAUCUCUGCCUCCCCAGCUCUGGAAUCACAGUCUCCCCUAUGCCUGGAUUUUUGUUUGUUUUGUUUUGAAGACAGUGUUUCUCUAUAUAGCUCUGGCUUUUUUGGAACUCUGUAGACCAGGCUGACCUUGAACUCAGAGAUGUAUCUCCCAAGUGCUGGAAUUAAAGGCGUUCACCACCA